UUUCAGAAGAGGUCAUUCUUUUUUAUUCAAGAAUCCAUAAUCUUUGUUAAUUGCUUUUUCAUUUGCUAUUUUUUCCGUCUAUUUUGACAUCUGGGGUUACAUAAGGUACGUUUUCUCAAGGCUUUUGUAUUCCGUAACUACUACGACAGUUAGAAACUCGUUUCAACUUCUUUUGUACUUUGAGGCUUGUACUUGAGGGUUGUUCGUGUGUAUCUAGAUUGUUGUGGUAGUGGGGUUUACAACUGCUUUUGAAUUCUUAUUUUAUGUGGUUUCAAAUUCAUGUUUUUCUGUUUGGGGAUUGUGUUUAUAUAUUUUUAAUUUUUUAUAAAGUUUUCAAUUGCUUUUGUAAUUUCCAUUCAAUACUAGAUUACUACAACACUUGUUUCAAUUUCUCUUGUACUUUGAGGCUUGUGCUUGAGGGUUGAUCCUGUGUAUCAGGUUCUUGUACCGGGAAUUGCUUUAGCUUAUGACUUCUCCUUUGUAUAGCUUUUUACGUUUUUUAACAAUGGUGUUGCACCUUUUUUUAAAAUGUUUGAUUGCUUUUGUAUAUCCCACUACUUGAAUACCCGAACAGUCUUUUCAACUUACCCUGUACUUUGAGGCUUGUACUUGACCGUUGAUCUUGUGUUUGAAGGUUCUUGUAGUGGAGAUUGCUUUAGCUUUUGACUCCUCCCACUUUCUGUGGCUUUGGCUUUUUUGGCAUGAGUUUUGUUCCAGUCAUCCAAAUAUUAGGUGACAGAUUGUGACUUUGGAUUCUUCAGGCUGUUCUGUUGAAUUUAUGAGACCAAUGGACGGGUCAUGGCCCAACAGGAAAAGGAUGUUUAUAUUUGAUAUCUUAGUGUAUGAUGUCAGGAUAUGUGGGUAAUGCUUGUUUGCAGAACGAGAUAAAGUAGGUGACAGGGGCGGGUACUGGUAGAUGUAAAUCAAGGUACAGGUUGCUAGUUGAUUCGCCCAUUUUGAUGGUUCCUAUUUCUCCAUUGUGUCAACUAUAUUUACCUUGAUCUCGAAUGUUCAGAUCUUUUAGUUGGUUGCCGGUUCUGUUAUAUGCAUGAUCAAUAGGAUGUCCUUGUUCCCUCAUUGCUGGCUCUCCUGUACAUCAGUAUGGUAGGAGUGCAGAUGAUGGAUUUGCCUGAGCAUACUAUUGGAGUUCAAUUGAAGAACAUAAGUAGUUCUAUAUCUUUCGAUAUGAAUCUCUUCAAGUCACUUGGCAUUUGUGAUUUUGUGGCGUGUCCAAGGUAAAAAGAAUUUGGAAGCCAUAUUGCGUGCUUUCCUUUUCAAUUACAAAGUUGUGGGUUCUGUUUGUUAUGAGAUUGCUGGACAUUGGGUUGUAAUUGCAUAGCAACUUGGAUGGGUAUAUCUAUCAUCAACCUAGAGAUUAUAGGUGUGAAAUUUUGUAUUUCUGUUUUUUCAUGGUCAUUUUGGCUUCUUUCAAAGUUCAUGAUGACUAGGAUGUCCAUCUUCCCUCAUUGCAGGCUCCCUUGUACAUCAAUACAGUUAAGUAUCUAAACCAUGACCUCCUAUCAGUUCUUCAUUUACUUUGUAAAGUUAGGCAGUAAAGAUACUUAUUUGCUGGAUACUUGGAUGGAUAUUUGGUGGUUUAAUUUACAUCAGAUAUAGCUGGUUUUGUUAGUUUUUUAAAAUUUUUGUUUUUUGUGUCAGAUUUUGUAGGCCUUCAUUGUGUAUAGCAGUUGUAUCUAAGACAGUAAUAGGGUUAUUUCUUUUAGUUUUUCUUUUAAUAAUAGUAGUUUUUAAGAGUAGUGUAGUAGACAUUAGUAACUAAAGUUCAAAUAUUGCAAAUACUUUAGCAAAAUGUAUUCUACUAGACAUCAUGAGCUUUAAAAGCUCAAAAAGCCUCAUAGUAUACAUAAGCGCUGUAACUUCUCAGGCCGAGCCAUCAAAGACUUGCUCUCAGCUUGUUAAAUAUUCCGGACUUGAUCUAAAAAAGCUCGGGAUUGGGCUCGAGCUCUAGUUACUCGAUAAAAGCUUGACUUGGUGCAGCUGUAAUGACAAGCUAGGUGGCCAUGAGGACAAGCUGGGAAGUCGUGUUGCAUCAAUAGAGAACAUGGUGCAUAACUUAAUAGACUUUGGUCAGUUGGUGAGAAACCAUUGUGAGCGGUGUACUGUAAACAUGACUGUCGUCAUCACUGCUGCCAAUAGAAUCAUCAUGAAAGCUGGACCAUAAUGAAUCAAAGGAGUUGAUUUUAGUGGUUGGAAGAGGGAAACUGGCAGAAGCGGAGCAUCUAGGUGUAAUUAGUAAUACUGAUAGCAAGGACGAGAGUGAGAUCUGAUGGCGUCGGGGGCCAUUAUUGGAGCAUUGAAGGACUUGUACAUAUAACCUUUGUGGCUCUUACAUUCUUACAUUAUGAGCUUGAAUCUUGAGCUUUGUCAUGGUUGCUUUCCAAGCCCUUCUCUGCAAUCCAAAGAGUUGAAAUAUGGCUUAGCUGGUGGAACUGGAUUCUUGUUUGGACCAAAUCAUUCUCGAAAUUGGGUGAUUCAUUCGAAAUUGGGUGAUUCGUGAAAUUCUCACUAGCUUUACAUCCAGUACAUAUCAAGAUCACUUGACUGAAAAGCUGGGCAGGUUUCUUUUUGCAGAAAGUCGAGCCUGCAAUGCAGUGGGAAUGACAAUCUUGUCAAAUAAGGUAGUUCCGGAAGAAGAAACUAGGCUUGGUUGAUUUGAAGUGUUGAUAUUAAAGUUGCUAGGCUUGUGGAAGGUAUUUUGGCCAUUCUUGGAAGAAUGGAGUUGUUAGAAACCUAGUUCAUCCCUCCUCAUAUGGCUCUUGGUACAUAAUGUGUCGUUUUGAAUGAAUGUAUUGUAAUGCCCUAACUUUUGAGUCUUAGAACUUGUAAGUUUGUAGUUGGCAUUGAGUCAAAUGUGUGUUUUGACAACUUGGGUAGUUUGGGCAAUUGACCCAUUUGAAGGUUCUUGUAAGUGCAAAUUGUUUAUGGAAGGUAAAUUACAUUGUAAGGGUGUUUUUAUAUGAUUUGAAGUCUUAGUUAUGGUUUUAAAA